UUUUCAUCCUGCACUGGUUCCUUAGCAUCAGCAUAUAACAAUUUCUUGUCAGUGGUGCAUACUAAAUCUUUUGCCCUCUUCCAUGAACUCAGCCUUGUUUCUUGUUUUCUUGUAUAAAUGAAAACAACUAUAUUAACCAAACCAGUGUCACCACACACUUUUUUUAUACUCUACUUGGGCAGGGACUUCAUGUUCCCACAGAAUCCUCUUAAGUCUUGAAAAAAGAUUUACCAAAAACCUUUGACAGUCACUUCUGCCCAAGGACAGCCCAUUAAGGAAUAUUCAAAGGUUUCUGUUAUUUCUGGACAGAUCUUUUGGACAAUUUUUUCUUCCUUGUGACUCUAAUUCUUUUCAUCCUUGAUUGCCACUUAUUACUCUCCCUCCAAUUAUUUCUUCAUAUUUAUUUGUGAACCAAUCUGAUCCUAAUAAUUGUAAAGCUUAAGACCAAAGUCCCUGGCCUAAUUGGCCAGCAUUUGUACAGAUUCAUAUAUAUGACACUGCGGUAUCUUUAGAUAUAAUCCUUACCAUGUAUUGUUCUUAAAUUCUUCCCAGGUCACAUUCCACAUUGCUAACUACAUAUUAACCAAAUAAGCUGGAAGCUCCUGCUGUAUUUUAUCCCUCCACAAUUGACCACAAAUGACACACCUGCCCACAGUCCCCUCUCUCUUUCACCUUCCCCAGAAAAGCCCACCAUCCUUUAUUAGAGUAAAUUCUGAGCCAGACUGGGCUUUCUGUCAAUCACCUGCCCCUAAUCCUCUCAGUAAUUUAGAUUCUGAAAAUAAAAGAAAAUAGAGUGGCUAGAAAAACAGCUUGGUGCCUAGUUCAGGACCCUGUGUUCCUACAUUCUCCCUUGCUUGUACAGAUGGAGGGAGGUGCGUCUGCCCUGGAUACAAAACAGGGAGCUAACUUCAUCCUUU